UUGUUCAGGGGGAAAGUAAAUGUAAAUUAGCCAUUUUACAUCUUGUGAUCUAUAGUGAUGUGAAAAUAAUGUUUCUUUAGCUGUUUACAAGGGUACCAUAUGGUCAGGUAUCCAUUAGAGUGGGUGGAUUCAGGGUCGUCCUAAAGAUCCAGAAAUUCAAAAUCUCAGUUUGCACUUAGGUUUGGACCUGAGGCCCUUGGUUUGUACGCCAAGUGCUUUACCACUCAGCCACCACAUCCCAUAGGUCAGGGUAACCUAAGCUCAAUAAGCACAAAGAUAUGACCUGUGAAACCUUAAAAUGAGAAAUACAAUGUCACAGUAAUACAAUCAGUUAAACUCCUGCUUUGUAAACCCUCAGUUAAAACAUUUUGGAACCUAGGUUAUUUUGAAUUGGCGUAACCCUUUUUUUUCAUGAUCUGCUGGGAAAGGAUACUCAAUUUUUUUAUUUUUUUUUUGUUGACAAUGUCUCAAAGCUCUUUGGCAAGAAUUUGUUAAGAUUAUCAUUUAAUUUUUUACUUAAGUAAUCUUUCAGCUUCGAUGUUCUAUACAAAAAUAUUAGUUUUCAAUCAUUAUUUGAGACUUGUACAAGUCUAAGCUUUAAUGUAUCCCAUCAAUUAUUUGAAAUAUUUUGUUCUCUUUUAAGGUUUUGCUUAACUUGUUUAUACUUAUUUUUUUUUUUUUUUUUU